GAAAUGCGAGAAGUAAUGUGAAUUGCAGAAUUCAGUGAAUCAUCGAAUCUUUGAACGCACCUUGCGCUCCUUGGUAUUCCUUGGAGCAUGCCUGUUUGAGUAUCAUGAAAUCUUCAAAGUAAAUCUUUUGUUAACUCAAUUGGUUUCUACUUUGGUAUUGGAGGUCUUUGCAGCUUCACACCUGCUCCUCUUUGUUCAUUAGCUGGAUCUCAGUGUUAUGCUUGGUUCCACUCGGCGUGAUAAGUUAUCUAUCGCUGAGGACACUGUAAAAGGUGGCCAAGGUAAAUGCAGAUGAACCGCUUCUAAUAGUCCAUUGACUUGGACAAUACUUUUAUGAUCUGAUCUCAAAUCAGGUAGGACUACCCGCUGAACUUAAGC
rnacentral:misc_RNA from 1 species